GUAGGGUGCGAGCGUUUAAUUCGGAAUUACUGGGCGUAAAGCGUGCGCCAGGCGGUUUGUUAAGUUCUGAUGUGAAAGCCCCGGGCUCAACCUGGGAAUGGCCAUUGGAAACUGGCAAGCUUGAGUUAUGGCAGAGGGGGGUGGAAUUUCCGCGUGUAGCCGGUGAAAUGCGUAGAGAUGCGGAGGAACACCGAUGGCGAAGGCGGCCCCCUGGGCCGAAUACUGACGCUCGGGCUACGAAAGCGUGGGGAGCAACCGGAUUUAGAUACCCUGGUUAGUUCCACGCCCUAAACGAUGCUCACUAGGUGUUUGGGGAAAGCGAUUUCCUUGGUACCGUUAGCUAACGCGUGAAGUGAGCCGCCGGGGAAGUACGGCCG
rnacentral:rRNA from 1 species